rnacentral:rRNA from 1 species
AGUGAACGCUGGCGGUAGGCCUAACACAUGCAAGUCGAACGGCAGCACAGUAAGAGCUUGCUCUUACGGGUGGCGAGUGGCGGACGGGUGAGGAAUACAUCGGAAUCUACUUUUUCGUGGGGGAUAACGUAGGGAAACUUACGCUAAUACCGCAUACGACCUACGGGUGAAAGCAGGGGAUCUUCGUACCUUGCGCGAUUGAAUGAGCCGAUGUCGGAUUAGCUAGUUGGCGGGGUAAAGGCCCACCAAGGCGACGAUCCGUAGCUGGUCUGAGAGGAUGAUCAGCCACACUGGAACGGAGACAGGGUCCAGACUCCUACGGGAGGCAGCAGUGGGGAAUAUUGGACAAUGGGCGCAAGCCUGAUCCAGCCAUACCGCGUGGGUGAAGAAGGCCUUCGGGUUGUAAAGCCCUUUUGUUGGGAAAGAAAAGCAGCAGGUUAAUACCCCGCUGUUCUGACGGUACCCAAAGAAUAAGCACCGGCUAACUUCGUG